GAUCAUGGCUCGGGAUGAACGCUAGCUACAGGCUUAACACAUGCAAGUCGAGGGGCAUCAGUUUGGUUUGCUUGCAAACCAAAGCUGGCGACCGGCGCACGGGUGAGUAACACGUAUCCAACCUGCCUCAUACUCGGGGAUAGCCUUUCGAAAGAAAGAUUAAUAUCCGAUAGCAUAUAUUUCCCGCAUGGGUUUUAUAUUAAAGAAAUUCGGUAUGAGAUGGGGAUGCGUUCUAUUAGUUUGUUGGGGGGG
rnacentral:rRNA from 1 species